AUCAAUGGCGCCUGAGAUGAGAAGCUGCAGCAUCAACCAAGAUGAAGAUGAAGAUGAAGAUGAAGAUGGAGUCUUGAAAAUUCCAUUAAUUAAAUCAGUGGAUAAGCGAUUUUACCAGAGUAUUGAUGAUGUCUUGUGUUUUGCCUUGUAAGCCCGUCUAUGAAGCUCCACAUCCAAGUGCUCUAGCCAAGCUGGACUCAAAUUUGAAAAGGGCGGGCCACUGCGGGCGUUAUGGCAUCCUUAGUACCUGCCAGCUUCAGCAUGAUGCAUUUUUAAAUGCGUCAUUGGUCUUGUUCUCUCAAUUUUGGCACUUUGGAAGCAUUCUCAUUGGAUAUGUAUUAAAAAUAUUUGUUAAAGUGCAUUAUACGACAAAAAGUCGUAGUAUUCAAAAUUUGUGUUGCAUUUUGUAUCUAAUUCAUUCUUAGACCAUUCACAUUGUAUUAGUCAAAAAAUAUUUGUUAAAAUGUGUUAUAUGACAAAAAGUAAUAAAAGUGAGAUAUGUAUCAAAAUUUGUAUAUGGGUGCUCCAAUAUAGUUGUAUUCUCCAG